AGUGAACGCUGGCGGUAGGCCUAACACAUGCAAGUCGAACGGCAGCACAGUAAGAGCUUGCUCUUACGGGUGGCGAGUGGCGGACGGGUGAGGAAUACAUCGGAAUCUACUUUUUCGUGGGGGAUAACGUAGGGAAACUUACGCUAAUACCGCAUACGACCUACGGGUGAAAGCAGGAGAUCUUCGGACCUUUCGCGAUUGAUUGAGCCGAUGUCGGAUUAGCUAGUUGGCGGGGUAAAGGCCCACCAAGGCGACGAUCCGUAGCUGGUCUGAGAGGAUGAUCAGCCACACUGGAACUGAGACACGGUCCAGACUCCUACGGGAGGCAGCAGUGGGGAAUAUUGGACAAUGGGCGCAAGCCUGAUCCAGCCAUACCGCGUGGGUGAAGAAGGCCUUCGGGUUGUAAAGCCCUUUUGUCGGGAAAGAAAAGCAGCAGGUUAAUACCCCGCUGUUCUGACGGUACCCAAAGAAUAAGCACCGGCUAACUUCGUG
rnacentral:rRNA from 1 species